rnacentral:lncRNA from 10 species
UGAUCUAGAUGGAGCAAAGGAAACUGAUGCUUCGAUGCCUAUAUUCCCAGCCUCAUCAUGUAAACACAGACAUUCCCAAGCCGGAACAACAGGACUCUCUCCUCCUAGCAGGUGUUCUGGGUGCCAAAAGGACAUGGCAGUGAUGGAUGUUGCUGAGCAGAGGAAAGGACAGGCCCUGCCUUAAGUACCAAGGAAAUGUGGAGCUUGUGGAUCAAAAGAACACAGGAAACUAGUGGGGAAAGAGAUGGAAAGGGAUCAACAGAAAAGAUGUGAAUAAGAAUGAAGAGGACUGUACCCCCACCUGCAUGUCACUCCAACACCCUGCUGCUCAGUCCUGCCAAUGGACCUCCAAGGGCCUGGCUGCCACCUGCUGCCCUGCACCACCCUCCCCAACCUCAGGGGGCCUUCCACCUGGUACCCUAAACUCCACACUGGCCUCUCCAUGCUAGUUGAUAUGGUUUGGCUGUGUCCCCACCCAAAUCUCACCUUGAAUUGUAAUAAUCUCCACAUGUCAAGGGUGGGGCCAGAUGGAGAUAAUUGAAUCAUGUGGGUGGUUCCCCCCUACUGUUUUCAUGGUAGUAAGUCUCACGAUAUUGGAUGGUUUUAUAAAUGGGAGUUUCCCUGCACAAGCUCUCUCUUGCCUGCUGCCAUGUAAGACAUGCCUUUGCUUCUCCUUUGCCUUCCGCCAUGAUUGUGAG